rnacentral:rRNA from 1 species
UCGUAACAAGGUAGCCGUAGAUGAUGUCAGCGGCGGACGGGUGAGUAACACGUGGGUAACCUGCCUGUAAGACUGGGAUAACUCCGGGAAACCGGGGCUAAUACCGGAUGCUUGAUUGAACCGCAUGGUUCAAUUAUAAAAGGUGGCUUUUAGCUACCACUUACAGAUGGACCCGCGGCGCAUUAGCUAGUUGGUGAGGUAACGGCUCACCAAGGCAACGAUGCGUAGCCGACCUGAAAGGGUGAUCGGCCACACUGGGACUGAAACACGGCCCAAACUCCUACGGAAGGCAGCAGUAGGGAAUCUUCCGCAAUGGACGAAAGUCUGACGGAGCAACGCCGCGUGAGUGAUGAAGGUUUUCGGAUCGUAAAACUCUGUUGUUAGGGAAAAACAAGUACCGUUCGAAUAGGGCGGUACCUUGACGGUACCUAACCAGAAAGCCACGGCUAACUACGUGCCACCAGCCGCGGUAAUACGUAGGUGGCAAGCGUUGUCCGGAAUUAUUGGGCGUAAAGCGCGCGCAGGCGGUUUCUUAAGUCUGAUGUGAAAGCCCCCGGCUCAACCGGGGAGGGUCAUUGGAAACUGGGGAACUUGAGUGCAGAAAAGGAGAGUGGAAUUCCACGUGUAGCGGUGAAAUGCGUAAAGAUGUGAAGGAACACCAGUGGCGAAGGCGACUCUCUGGUCUGUAACUGACGCUGAGGCGCGAAAGCGUGGGGAGCGAACAGGAUUAGAUACCCUGGUAGUCCACGCCGUAAACGAUGAGUGCUAAGUGUUAGAGGGUUUCCGCCCUUUAGUGCUGCAGCAAACGCAUUAAGCACUCCGCCUGGGGAGUACGGUCGCAAGACUGAAACUCAAAGGAAUUGACGGGGGCCCGCACAAGCGGUGGAGCAUGUGGUUUAAUUCGAAGCAACGCGAAGAACCUUACCAGGUCUUGACAUCCUCUGACAACCCUAGAGAUAGGGCUUCCCCUUCGGGGGCAGAGUGACAGGUGGUGCAUGGUUGUCGUCAGCUCGUGUCGUGAGAUGUUGGGUUAAGUCCCGCAACGAGCGCAACCCUUGAUCUUAGUUGCCAGCAUUCAGUUGGGCACUCUAAGGUGACUGCCGGUG